rnacentral:rRNA from 1 species
GAUGAACGCUGGCGGCGUGCCUAAUACAUGCAAGUCGAGCGAACGGACGAGAAGCUUGCUUCUCUGAUGUUAGCGGCGGACGGGUGAGUAACACGUGGAUAACCUACCUAUAAGACUGGGAUAACUUCGGGAAACCGGAGCUAAUACCGGAUAAUAUUUUGAACCGCAUGGUUCAAAAGUGAAGGACGGUCUUGCUGUCACUUAUAGAUGGAUCCGCGCUGCAUUAGCUAGUUGGUAAGGUAACGGCUUACCAAGGCAACGAUGCAUAGCCGACCUGAGAGGGUGAUCGGCCACACUGGAACUGAGACACGGUCCAGACUCCUACGGGAGGCAGCAGUAGGGAAUCUUCCGCAAUGGGCGAAAGCCUGACGGAGCAACGCCGCGUGAGUGAUGAAGGUCUUCGGAUCGUAAGACUCUGUUAUUAGGGAAGAACAUAUGUGUAAGUAACUGUGCACAUCUUGACGGUACCUAAUCAGAAAGCCACGGCUAACUACGUGCCAGCAGCCGCGGUAAUACGUAGGUGGCAAGCGUUAUCCGGAAUUAUUGGGCGUAAAGCGCGCGUAGGCGGUUUUUUAAGUCUGAUGUGAAAGCCCACGGCUCAACCGUGGAGGGUCAUUGGAAACUGGAAAACUUGAGUGCAGAAGAGGAAAGUGGAAUUCCAUGUGUAGCGGUGAAAUGCGCAGAGAUAUGGAGGAACACCAGUGGCGAAGGCGACUUUCUGGUCUGUAACUGACGCUGAUGUGCGAAAGCGUGGGGAUCAAACAGGAUUAGAUACCCUGGUAGUCCACGCCGUAAACGAUGAGUGCUAAGUGUUAGGGGGUUUCCGCCCCUUAGUGCUGCAGCUAACGCAUUAAGCACUCCGCCUGGGGAGUACGACCGCAAGGUUGAAACUCAAAGGAAUUGACGGGGACCCGCACAAGCGGUGGAGCAUGUGGUUUAAUUCGAAGCAACGCGAAGAACCUUACCAAAUCUUGACAUCCUUUGACAACUCUAGAGAUAGAGCUUUCCCCUUCGGGGGACAAAGUGACAGGUGGUGCAUGGUUGUCGUCAGCUCGUGUCGUGAGAUGUUGGGUUAAGUCCCGCAACGAGCGCAACCCUUAAGCUUAGUUGCCAUCAUUAAGUUGGGCACUCUAAGUUGACUGCCGGUGACAAACCGGAGGAAGGUGGGGAUGACGUCAAAUCAUCAUGCCCCUUAUGAUUUGGGCUACACACGUGCUACAAUGGACAAUACAAAGGGCAGCGAAACCGCGAGGUCAAGCAAAUCCCAUAAAGUCGUUCUCAGUUCGGAUUGUAGUCUGCAACUCGACUACAUGAAGCUGGAAUCGCUAGUAAUCGUAGAUCAGCAUGCUACGGUGAAUACGUUCCCGGGUCU